rnacentral:rRNA from 1 species
UACGGAGGGUGCAAGCGUUAUCCGGAUUUACUGGGUUUAAAGGGUGUGUAGGCGGGCUUUUAAGUCAGUGGUGAAAUCUCCGGGCUCAACCCGGAAACUGCCAUUGAUACUAUUAGUCUUGAAUUUUGUUGAGGUAGGCGGAAUAAGUCAUGUAGCGGUGAAAUGCUUAGAUAUGACUUAGAACACCAAUUGCGAAGGCAGCUUGGUAAACAAACAUUGACGCUGAGGCACGAAAGCGUGGGGAUCAAACAGG